CUUGAAGAGAUUCGAGUGUGCCUUCGGGAACUCUGAGACAGGUGCUGCAUGGCUGUCGUCAGCUCGUGUUGUGAAAUGUUGGGUUAAGUCCCGCAACGAGCGCAACCCUUAUCCUUGUUUGCCAGCACUUCGGGUGGGAACUCCAGGGAGACUGCCGGUGAUAAACCGGAGGAAGGUGGGGACGACGUCAAGUCAUCAUGGCCCUUACGAGUAGGGCUACACACGUGCUACAAUGGCAUAUACAGAGGGCAGCAAGACCGCGAGGUGGAGCGAAUCCCAGAAAGUAUGUCGUAGUCCGGAUCGGAGUCUGCAACUCGACUCCGUGAAGUCGGAAUCGCUAGUAAUCGUGGAUCAGAAUGCCACGGUGAAUACGUUCCCGGGCCUUGUACACACCGCCCGUCACACCAUGGGAGUGGGCUGCACCAGAAGUAGAUAGCUUAACCUUCGGGAGGGCGUUUACCACGGUGUGGUUCAUGACUGGGGUGAAGUCGUAACAAGGUAGCCCUAGGGGAACCUGGGGCUGGAUCACCUCCUUAC
rnacentral:rRNA from 1 species